GGGGGCUGUCUCCGAUCCUGGGUCCAGGGCCCGUAGUCGAAUGUGGGACCAUGGAAAAACCAUCACCCAUUGAUAAUUAUAUAUUUUUGAAACGUCAACAAGCUUUUGUGAAAAGAACGUGACAAAAUAAAAAUGUAGACACCGGACACAAUUGUACAUUAGUUUUUUCCUUGUGGAAAAUAAUUUGGACUGUUCUCCCAUCCAUCGUGUCUUUAUCGUGAUGAUUUUUCGGGUUGUUUUAUUUCAUUUCCUUUCAGGUUUAUUGUGUGUUGAACUUUGGUGCUCUCGUUGUUAGUGUUUUUGUGCAGGUGUGUCGCAGCAGGUCAGAGUGGUUACGUUCGCUGGAGUGGUCAUGGCUUUGACUCGGUGUAGCAGCUCCGACUGACUGUUACAACUAGGCACCUCUUUAUGAGUUGUGCUCCGUAAGUCUGUCGUGUAGCGGCACUUUCUUCAUUUUGACUUUAUUUCUUUCUUAAAAUUUUUCUUUUAAAUUACAGUCAGUUUUACUUAGUUUCUUUCACUUGCCUUUGCUGGCACUUCCAUUUUUUUUUUUAUUUUUUACAUAAUAUUUGAGUUAUUGAUCUUGUAUGGUCAAGUUUGCUUUUGAAUGCACUAAAUUGUCCUUGAAUGUGUAAGGUUUGGGCCCUAGUCACUAACUUUUGGACGGCCAUUUGCAAAAAUGGUUGUUUUAAUUUUUGCAUUGUCACCUAGGUUACGUAUUUUCUGAUGUGUGAAUUUUCCCAUGUUUUAUUGGCUCACGUCUCUCGUGGAGUUGCAUUUGGAUGCUUUAUAGUGUAUUAUUAACUUGCAUUUGGGUGUUACAUGGUGUGUUGUCAUCCUUCUUGGUUUUAUAUGUGUGUUGUCAUGCUUUUUAUUUCACUUUUAUCUUUAUCGCAAUCCACCAUUUAAUCUUGUCCCUAGUAAUAAUGUAACUUUUUAUGGCUUUUAUUCUUUUUGCACUUUAGCCCUUAGUUUAUUUUGUUUAGGGUGCUAUUACGACCUACCUGCUACGGUGGGUUUUUGAUGUCGGGGGAGUGAUGUACUCCUAACAUGAAGACACCGACAACCUGCAAUCUCGUGAUAUGUGCCAUACAUGUUUAUAAAGGCUUCCUUGCACUGCAGCAGCGACCUGGGUCCGGGCAGUGACGCCACCACGCUAGCAGUACGUCACUGCUCCACUGUAGAUCACACCGACGCAGUGAAGCCCCGUUCUCCGCGCAUACUUGGGUUGCCUCGGAAAUCGAAACUGCUCACGAUUGUUGGGGCAGAGGUGGUGGUAAAAAACACAAUAGAGCAUACUUACCGCGAGCUGUCUGUUACUAGAACAGUGAAACAUGGCAACUUAUUUCAAGCGAAAUGCCACUGUUAAAAUCUUACAAUCUUGCUUUAAAUGACUGCAACAAGACAAAUUGAAAUGACAUGUUUGAAAGAACGCAUUUGAAAGAGUUUACAGAUAAUAUUUAGUACAAUAAAUAAUAGUUUAAAAAAAUUUUGUUUGAAGUUGGAGCACUUUAGCCCUAAUUGUUUCCCCGCUGGCCAGUUACUCGGCACUGUUCGGAGUUCAGAGCGAGAACGCGGAGCUGUGAAGAGGUCUGGCGGACGCUACUGUGGCGCUGCGGUGCGGAGUUGGUUCUGACGUGUUCCAUGUCCUGGAACAGAUGGUAAGGCAAUCAUGCUUCGUCACUCGGCAAAACUAUUUAGGUUUCCAACAGUAAAGUAAUGAAUGGCCCAAAAAAAAACUCGAGUAAACUAUGUAAACAUUUGCUGUUUCUAGAGACCCGGAAAUUUCGCGGAUUCAUUUAGUCGCAAGCUAGAAUGCAAACCUUCACACUGUCGCACUGUGUUCACGAUUGGACCGCAGUUAUCUGGACACGCCCCUCUACGACCGUGAGCCAAUGAUGCCCAGCUAGGAGAGAAGUAAGCGAAUCAGGUAGUGCCAAAUAACAAGGAUAAAAAUGUUCUCGCUAAGAAAUCAACCAAUGGGAAAGUAAACAUGGGUCUAGCACACCUAUAACUUUGAAUUCUAUCCUGAGGCCAGAAGAACCCGCGAAAUUUCCGGGUCUCUAGCUAUUUCAUAUCAGGAACCUGUAUUUAAAGUAACCAUCAGUUACAUGUUUUUCAUAUGCUCAUCAGAUACUUGCAAAUUAUUUUUUUUACUUGUAAAUAAAGGUCUUCUUAACUUAGAGCUUCUGUUUACUAUUUGCGGCACAUUUUAUACUUUAAUAAAAUUGUUUCGAUACAAAUUCCUUUAAUUUAUUGCCCAUAUUAAAGAUGAUUAAUAAAUUAACAAACCGUGAACAUGUACAUGAUGACAACAGCUUCUUUAUUGUAACAAACCCAUUUUCAGCCAACUAAAUGUUGUUAAUGAGCUUGUUUUGACAAAAUAUUUAGUUUAUUAUUUAUUUCAUAGAAUUAUUUACAGUGUGAAGGUUUGUACGCUUCCUUUAUAUCCUUAAUAAAACAAUAAUUUGUCUUUGAAAUUUGUCCUUAAAAGUCCUAAAAUUUCACCAAGAAUCCUUAAAAGUUCCUGAAAUAAAGACUGAUAGCUUGCAAAUAAUAGAUAAUGUUAUUUUUUUCCGACUUGCCAGCAAACAAUACUUUGCGCAUGCGCAAUACAAUUGGCGAAUUUGGUCUAUAAGUUUAGUUUUAAUUUUGUACCUCACCUUCAAAUUAAAAAUGUGUGGUUUACUGUCUUAUUUUGAACUUAUAAAGUAAAUGUAAUUAAUGAUCAUACUAAAUGUUAGGAGUGGAAAAUAUUGUGACACUGCUUGGGUUGGAUAUGUGUUCCAGACAGAGAUAAUUGUGGACAAUAGAUACUUAUCUGUACGAAUUGAACUAACCAACAUUACUUUUGUGCUUAACAGUUUUUUUCUUGAGGGAUUUUGUUAUAUUCACAAAUAAUUUUUUACCUUUUGAUAGUGGCCAAGGAAAUGAAGUAAAUGGGUCUUUAAAAACACCCUUAAUGUAUGAUUUCUCAAGAGGGAACGCCUAAAUUGUGUUUGUUACAGGUAGACAUUUCACUUGGCAAUCACACACACCCUGCUGGCCCCCGAAGAUGACAGCCGGCAUGUACAUAGUGCAUGGCUCACAUACCCUCUGGAGCGAUAUAAAAACUAAGCAGAUUUUAAGCACCCCUUCACUUCAUCACCAUCACCACCUUAAUCACUAUCAAUAGGUAAAUAAACAUUUGUGGUAUCACAAAAGUAUCUCAAGAAAAUAACAAUAUUAAAAAGUUAAUGCAAAAAAAUUAUUUAGUGUAAUUCAACUCUUACAGAUAAGCCCCUAUUGCCCGGAAUUAUCUCUGGAACACAUCUAACCCAAGCAUUGUCUUAUCUGAAUUUUAUAUCCCUACCAUUUACUGUUUCCACUGAUUAUAUUUACUUUGAAAGUUCAAAGUAAGACAAUAAAACACACCUAGUUAGGUUAAAAGAUGAGAUACGAACUGUAAAAAACAAAAAUUGUAUUUUUAUACAUAAAAUCUAAUCACUUGGCCCUAAAACUCUCCAAUUGUACUGGGAAUGCGCAAGGCGUUGUUUGCUCGCAAGUAGAACAUUAAAGUGCCUGCAUGUAUCCGUUACGUGCAAGCUAUCAGUCUAUUGAGGAGUUUUCAAGGGGUCGUCCAUUAAUCAUGUGAUUUUUUUUUAGCAAAUUUUUAACCCCCCCUCCCCCCUAGUGAUUUGUGGUGAGGUUUCAGACUUUACCCCCCCCCCCCCCCCUAAUAAAUCACGUGUAUUUUUUUGGUACAAAAUAUUUUUAAAAAUUUCAGAAUAUUAUCUUUAGAUAUAGGUAUAAUCUAAUUUAAUUCUGGAAAAUUAAGCACAGUGAUAAAGAUGUCCAGACACACAUUAUGGUUGCAGGUUUAUUCUCACUGGCAUGUAUUCGGCGCCGUAAUCACAGUCUUAACUGGCGACUGGCAAGCCGAGCCGGGUGGUUCAUGUUGCGGCGGGCGGGGAUAGUGUUGCCUGGCUACGGCGAGACAAGGUCACGCGUCGCUUUUCGGUUUAGUAGAAAUUGCGCGAAAAAAUAAAUACACGUGAUAUCUCUCUACCACCCCCUCUCCCCCCUUGUGAUAUUUCGUGAUUUUUCCGGAACCCCCCCCCCCCCCCCCCCUUUCGAGUCUCACGUGAUUAAUGGACGAUCCCCAAGGUUUGUUGGUGAAAUUUAAGGACUUUUGAGGAUUGUAAGGAAGCGUGACGGCAGGCCGGAGUGCACGGCCUUCUGGGAGGCGAGGAGUGACGCAGUUGUGCUGCGGUCAUCUGCAACUCCGAGGAGCGCAGCGUGUCGCGUGUCCCAGGGAGAUGGAGUACAGGCCGGUCCCAGAGUCUUAACGGACACCGCUCGGUGCAGGACGAGAAGACUGCGCGCCAGUCCAGAGGAGACACCGCGCCAGAAGCACCAGGUACACCCCCCGACUAGGUGGGCCCCUUAAUUAACAAUUUCCAAAAUUGUUCACACGUUGGUGUUGGUUAGCCACCUUCCUGUCAGUCGGUGGUAGUUUGGUAGUUCAGCCUCGAUGAGAGCGUAGUCCAGUGUUUCAUGGCCCACCGGAGAUGUCGGUAGUGUGCCGUUUCUAGUUACGGCACUCGUGAUUUUAUGAGCAAUUAAUUUAUUCACAUUUUUGAAAUCUUUUAUGUUAAAUAAAUUUUAAAAUAUUUUAUGCAAAUGUUGUAUUUAAUAUUUAUUUAUGUAUCUUUACCUAUUUUCAUAAACUGAAUGUUAAAGUUUUGUUUAGUUAUUUAAUUAAUAAUGUAUUAAAUGUGUUUGUUUCUAUUAGAAUCAAAUGUGUAAUACUGGUUCUAUGAAUAUUUUGUUUUGUUUGUAUACCCUCUACUUACUGUAAAUUCUGUGAUUUCUGUCGUGCCAAACGAAAAAGACUUACCUUGCCUUUUCAAAUUCUUUUCGGCCAUUUGGCCUGUAUUUUUUGGUGCUGAUGUAAAAAUUGAUUAUAAAUUGUAACAACGUAUCUUUUACUGCCGUUUUGGCGGUUCGAGUCAUGGGCCUCAUCCUGGCUUUGGUGUUCCAGGAAUAUAAAUUCAUUUUUGGGAGUUGACCUCUUCAAAACAAAGGCCAGAAAUUUCAUUAUUAUUAUUUUAAGGUUAUGUGACAGUUUUCAACUUCUGUGUGAUCAUAGCUUCUUUGUGAACAUAAUGAAAGUUUCUGUUAUUGAACUUCAAUCAACGAAGUAAUAUGGAUUUCUACACUUUGGAACAUUUCCGGCAAUUAAUUUUCAUUCUGAAGAAAGAAUUCUAAGAAGACUUAAAUAAUUUAAUAUUUGUUUGAUGAAUUAAUUUUUUAAAAUAAUAUUUGUUGAGUAACUUAACCUGUUUUUACUUAAAUAUAAUAUAAAUACUAGGGGAUUUUCCGUCAAGCUCGAGCGAGUUUGCUAAAAUACUCGCGAGUAUCGAGUCAAGUUCAAGGUUUUUUUUUUUUUUUUUUUUUUUUUUUUUUUUAAGUUUAUUGCACAUAAAUUUACUGUGAUGGAGUAAUAAAAUGUGAGAACUUUUGAGAAAAAUAUGGAAAUAAAAAAAGAAACCAUUAUCAUUGUUAGCCUACUAAAUAGAUAGACCUACAUUAGAGGUCUGCGAGCCUAAGAAUUAUACUUCAAGCCAAGCUCGAGCUUUUGUGGUACAGUUACACUUUUGGGAAAUGAUUUUUACCUUAAACUUAGUAUAAUAUUUGAAUAAAGUAUUAAUAUGAAGUGGGCUUAUUAAUUUUGGGUAACUAUUUACAGAGUGCAUUUACAUUUUGCACUGCUAGGAAAAAAAAAAAACAUUUUUGACAUUGAAUCUAACCUGUUUACAUUGGUUCAUUAGUAACUGAUUGAUAUCAUCCAACUAACAUAACCACAGUUUACAAGUAUAUUUUUGUGUAAAUGUAACAUAUCUUUGGAAUAAUUUCAUCCUUGUCAAUUUUUCUGAGUCCUUACUGAGCUUCAACAAACUUAGCACCAAAAAUCAUGUUGUUUGAAAAGUACAUUCACAUUGUUUCAACAUUUCCACUUUUUGCACAAAAAUUCUGAGAGAGAUUGUCAGAAGAAAGAGAAGACAUAAGAAAAUUAUGGAAGGUGAACUAAUAAAAUAAUAAAUAAGAUAUAAAUAAUAAUUUUUUGACAUUGAACACCACUACAAUAGUUCCCAUAUUUUACAAAUCUGCGAAUUGAAGGAUUCUGUAAAAGUUUACCAUACUACGACUACAAGAAUAACCUCUAACCUGAUAGAAGAACUGAUUUUAUUAGUUCACCUUCCAUAAUUUUCUUAUGUCUUCUCUUUCAAUCAAUAUUCUUAAUAACUUGUAUUAAAUAAUUUUCAGAACAUAUUUUAAAUCAGCUAUAUAUUCAUGAAUCAGUCUUUUUUCUAUCCAAAAUCAUUCUUACUAAUGUUCUAAAAAAAAUUGUUUCCUUCAUUCUUUUUCAAACUUUGAUCCUCCCUUUUUAUUUAUAAAUCAAAGAACUGUAAAUCCUUACAUGGUUCACAAUGAUACUCCGAAAAUUACAGCUUGAAAUUUUGAAUAUUUAACUUUGGCUAUGGAAUGUAUGUUUAACUUAGUAUUUUGUUGUUUGCCAUUUAAAAAGCAAACAAAUAAUUUAAGAUGUUUUAAAAUCAAAUGAAACGUAGAGUACAAAUUCACAAGUUACUAAGAUAAAACAAAUAUUAAAUGAAAUAAAUAUUUACAUUUCUAUAAAGUGUAAAAUUAUCCUUUAUACUUUAUUAAAAAUGCUGAUUUAAAUCACAAUAACAUAAUAUUUUAAUACACAAAAGUCGAUGAAUGGAAUUAAUUUAUCGUGAAAUUUAUACCAAAGUUUAUGUAAUAAAUUGAUUAGAUAAUUUUUUUCUUUGUAUUAGUUUGCAGCUGUUAUUACAUUAGUUACUCAUGUUUACAUUGCAAUGUUGGUACAUUUGUCGAACACAGACAAAUACUUUUCAAUUAAUAUUUAUUGUCCUAUUAGUCAUUAUUAUAUUGUAAUUAAUGUAAAGGUGCUUAAUUCACCAGUAAAAAUGAUUUUGGUGAAAUAAGUAUCAAGAACCAUUUAAGCAUUAUAUUUAUGGAAUAAUAUGCUAUAUUUAUGAAAAAAUAGGAUUCUUAAAAAAAUAAAACAAUAACACUGGAAUUGGCUUAAAAAUAAAACCAUAAAAUCUUGUAUAUAUUUAUUAAUGAUGCGCAGAAUGCUGUGGCAAUUCACAGCAAAUGCUGUGUUGCAAACAUUGACUGAUUGUGUGUUGGACUGCCAGAUACUUUAAUGCAACCCUUAAAAUAAGUCUUUGAAGAGGAAAAAUAAAAUUAAUAAGUUGCGUGUUAUGAAGAAUAGAUUUUUAUAGAUAAUAGGCUUGUUAAGUUUAUAAAUAACUCCAAAUGUGUUGUAAAAAAAAAAUUUGUGGAUUGGGGGGGGGGGGGGGUGAGUAGAGGGAAUUGCAAAUGUAACUCAUGAAAGUUCAGAAGCUAGUUGUCACAUGUAUGAUAAUUUUUUUUUAACCUUCAAAGAAGUAACAUCAUUUUCAAUGUCUGAGAGCACUCAUCUCAAUUUUUUUUUUUUUUUUUUUUUUUUUUAAGAAAAGGUUAUCUAAUGAUUUGAAUUAUGAUCAACAGUUGCAAUAAGUGAAAGGAAUCUUAAAAUGUAUUAAAUCUUUAAGAAGUGUGUUAUGAUGUGUGUAUCUAAUAAAACAUAAUUUAAAAUAAUGAUGAAGUGUAUGUGAUUCAUGUAAUAUUGGAAAUGCGUCAUGUUGGGAUGUUUAAGCAAUAUUACCUUGCUCAAUUCAUUUUAUUGUCAUUAUGUUAGAGAUGUUUCUGUAAAUUUAUUCCUAUAGCACUCUUGAAUUUAUUGUAAAUUUACCAACUUUCUCACCUAAUAUUUGCUUUGUUAUUUUUGCAAGCUGUAAAAUGUCACAAGUGAUCAUAUUAACGAAUUAUUCUGCUAUGCUUUACAUCUAGUAUUAGAUAAUCUUUUACAAAUAUUUUGAGACUAGAACAUAAAAUGAGUGUGUGCCAUUGUGUUAAAAGUUUUAAAAUGGUAUGUUCUAUAAAUGAUUCAUAAGUGGGGUAAUUUUGAUGUAAUAUGAUUUUUUGGACAUACACCACUUUAGUUUUGCAUUGUUGGUCAUGGUAAAAAAAAAAUAAAGAAUGCAAAGUAAUAAAUUAAAAUCCCACAGAGAACAAGUCAAAAUGAGCUGGUGUUGAACAGAUUAACUUGAACAGGUGUAAUGGAAAAACACAACAGCACAUGGUUUCCUAUGACAACAGUUGUGAUGUUUCGGGAGCUGAUGGUCAGCAACAACUGUUUUGGCAUAGGAAACUUUUUUCUGUGCAGUUGGUGUCUUGUCCAUAAUACCUACUUACCUGUUAAGGUUUGUUGUUGAAUCUGUUUUGACACUAACUGGUUUAGUCUUUUUUUCUAUAAGUUUUAAUUUUUUAUUUAUUACUUUGAUUUCUUGAUUAUUUCUUUUAAUGACAAACAGUGCAAAAAAGCAUGUUAAAAACUUACCUUGCCAGAUGAAUGUAUUAUAUGUAGAUUUUUUUUGUACUUAUGCUGAAGAUUAAAUGAAUCUUCAUGCUUUAGUGUGUCAAUAAAUUGUAACAAAUGAC